rnacentral:tRNA from 1 species
ACCGGCCUAGCUCAAUUGGUAGAGCAACUGACUGGUAAUCAGUAGGUUGGGGGUUCUAUUCCUCUGGCCGUCACCA